AAGCAAACAAACCUCUGGCUGGAAGGGGACUAUUUUCGUCAGAAGUUAAAGGGGCAGGAGAAUGGACAACACAGAGCAGCCUUCUCCAAACUUCUCUCUGGCGUUGAUGACAUUUCCAUAAAUGGGGUCGAGAAUCAAGAUCAGCAAGAACCCGAACCGUACAGUGAUGAUGACGAAAUCAAUGGAGUGACACAAGGUGAUAGACUUCGGGCCUUGAAAAGCAGAAGACAAUCCAAAACGAACGCUAUUCCUCUCACUCUCUCCAUUUCAAGGACUAAAACAGUCUUGCGUUAAGUAAAAACCUGUGACCAGAGCUGAAGGAAGACUCUAGGACUGAAAACUGCAACAGAAAUUAGCACAAUUUGAAAACAAAACAAAAUUGCAAAAGCCUUAGUUGCUUUUUCCACCUAAGAAGUUAAUCAAUGGAGAAAAUGUCCACUGGAGUUUGAAUAAUGAACUUUGAGUUUGGGUGCAAGCAAAUGACUCAGAGAAGGGUCCAGCUCUCAAGCUGAAUGACAAACAUGCUGUUGUAAAUUUAGUCUCAGGUGUAAAUACCCAAGCCCUCUGGUACCCAGGGAGCUGGCUGGUCUGUGGUGCAUGUGUGUCCCUGUGAUGGCAAUCAUUGUAGUUGCUGGCCUUCAGAAGAAUUGAGGAUCUGAUGGAGGUUUUUUAUGUAUUUAUUUUCUGUUCACCUUGUGACCCUGUGUCAAAAUUUAUAAAGAUACAAAAGGCAUUACUGAAAUGGUACUUUCUGUAAUUUGAUACUAUUUGGCUUAAUCAUCUUCACUUGACUAUUUGUAAUACUGUUGUAAUGUUAACUCUGUUAAGUACCCAAGCUGCUUGUCUUCCACCAAAGAGUGCUUUAUUAACAAGAAUCUGUGAAAAUCACAUUUAAACACUGUUGCAUGUUGUAAGACCAGGUGGUACCUUAGUAACCUAAAACUUGCAAGAGAAUAUUAAUGGUAGCUUUAGAAGACUCAGGAGGAGAAACUGACUUCAGAGUUGGAAGAUGUUGCAAGUCGUUCCUUUUUCUGUCCUUCAGGGACUGAAGAACUGGGAGGCUGCCCAUUGUUUGGUUGCCAGUCAUACAAAUUAAAAUCAUAUUUCCUUCCGUGAAUGGAAGAAACACACUAUUGGUUUUUCCCCUUGGAAACAGCAAUCCCAAAUAAUGUCGGCUUACAAAAAAAGAAGUUACCACUUUUUGAGAGUCCUUCCCUGUAACAUUGGAUUUUUUUUUUCCCUUAUGAGAUCCACCUAAGGCCAUUGACGUGGCCUGCGAUCUCAGUGACAAUGAUCUGCUUCUGGAUCUCACUGUUGCCUUUGGUUAGGGAACACAACUAGUAACUCUGCAGAGUGCCUUCUCCCGCAGCCCUACUGGAACACAGCAGAGUCUGUGCCAUGAAGCAAUUACAGAAACAGAAUUGAUGUGCUGCUAAAAAAAAAAAAAAAUGGGGCCCAAAAUAAAAGAAUAUAUAGUACUCACCUCAGUUCCUUCCAUAAGAAGUGGGUGGUUUAAUGAUUGUUAAGCCAUUUUUGCCUGUGCCGGGAGCAUGGAGGGCUGAGAUGUCGACAGGCAGUGGGAAACAAAUGCCCUCCUAAGCCACAAGGCGUGCGCCAGAUCAGUAGGCAACUCCAUUUUAAGAAGCUGCCUUUUUCACAAAACUGGAAGAAAUAAAAGCGGUUGGAAUAAACAAGUUAAAAGUCUUUAAUGCAAAAAGUAAUUGAAAG
rnacentral:lncRNA from 1 species